AUUAAGAAACAGGGGGAAGGGAAAGGGACCAACUUUUUUGUUUGAUUCAUUUUUUAGUUUGUUGUAUUAAGAAAAAUAGAGCUUAAGGUAUAUUUUUGUUGUGGGCUUGGCUUGAGUUGGGUUAAAUUUCAAUCUUGGCUUUAUUGUGAUAGGUUGGGUUGCUGGCUCAUGUCUAUUCGGGCUUGGUUGUUUGGGUUUAAAGCUAAAUGGAAUUGGACCAAUCGUUUUUGAUCUAGAACAUUCUCUCCAUACUCUCUCUCUUGAUUGAUCUUCGUUGGUCGACGAUAUACGACGAUCUACGGCGGAAUGGCUUUGCAAUUGAAGCUAGAGUUGAUAUUGUGUGGUCGCAUUUCAGUCAGUUUGGCCAUGUUUUGGACGUGUAUCUUUCUAAGGAAUUUAUGAAUUAUAAGAAUUCUUGUGCUAGUGUCAUGAGGGCUAUUUGGUUAAAUUUCAUGAUGGUGUUGUUGCUGGUGCUGGUAUUGGUGUUGGUGGGUCCAUUUUCUGCCCCAGCCCUGAUGUGAACAUCAAGGCUGAUAGCUUCAUAGCUAGGCUCCAUGAUGGUUGGAGGCUUGAGAAGGUGAAUUCCAUGAGAGAGAAGCAAAAGAUGGGCUAGAAGGGCCCAUUUAGUGCUACAAUAAAUAACUAAAGAUUUGAAGGGAUGGGGUUAUGAUUGUGUUUUUUGAUCACCUUUUGGAACCCAUGGAAGAGGAUUGGAGUUUGAAUUGCAGUUUGCAUUGUUUAAUGGUUUUUUUAUUGCAUUAAACGGGGUAUGUAUAGGUUAAGGUUAUGCCUUUGGUUGAGGUUCUAGUGAUGGUGGCUGAGACACAACUACUGGCUUUGGUUCUUGCUCAGAUACAGAUGAUGGGGUUUGAGUAGAAGUGGGAGUAGGCUGAGAGGUUUCUUGAACCUUAGGUUGUGAAUUAGUUGGACCUGUUGGUUGUACCUGAGUGGUUAUGAGAGAUGGAGAUUGAGUAGAAGUGAGAGUAGGCUGAGAGCUUUCUUGAAUUUUAGGUUGUGAAUUUGUAGUAAGAGUUGGUUGUGAGAGAUGGAGAUUGAGUAGAAGUGGGAGUAGGCUGGGAGCUUUCUUGAAUUUUAGGUUGUGAAUUUGUUGUACCUGAGUGGUUUUGAGAGAUGGAGAAGAAGGUUGUGAUGUUGUUCAAUCAGCAGGUUCAGAGGACAAACAAAGUGGAGCCUCAGGCUGGGGGUCUUUCUGCGAUGCAAAGCUUUGCUAUAUUAAUGAAUUUUGUAGUUGACAACCAAGUGCUCUCUUGUUUUCUAUCAACUUCUUACACUAAAUCACAAAAAUGACAUCAAGUAAAAAGCUUGUUGGACGAUCUCAAAUAUCACUGCUGGGAAUAAAGGUCAAAUACAGGAUGAAAGAAAAACGUGUCAGAUGGCUUCGGUUUUAUAACAUUUGCUGAUGAAAUUUCAACCAAGUAGGCAGAAUGUACAUAGGAUACUUGGGUAGAAGGUGUGUCAGUGUGAAAUAUGAUUAAAUGUUGUACUACUAAUAUGUUCUGGUAAUCUCAGAAAUGCCUAUUAUUGGUAAUGGCCAUGCGCUUGGGCCAUGUAGGUACCCAUGUGGGUUUGCUCGUAUCAAAUGAAUGGGCCUCAGAAGUUCGUUAUGCAGAGUGGUUUGGGCUACUGUCUAUCAAUAUGGUCUUUGUGUAACUCAAGUUCAAGGAGGAGAAAUCAAAACAGAGGAAAAUAUAACAAAGAGUGUGAGAAAAGAUGUCAAAUUUAGAAUGAUGUUUAAAUGAAGUGGCUGCAACUCUAUCCUAAACAAGUUCUCCAUUCUAACAGGGGUAUACCUCAUUCCAUCCUUCAUGACUUCUGCUUAAAAGUUUGCUAGUUUCUAGGUUUGUGAUU